AGUCAUGUGACCGCCGAAGUCUUUGGUGUCACCUCGGGCUCUUUAGCCUGGCGGUGACUAUACGAACAACCAGAGACUACAUAUCCCAGAAUACCAACUGGAUCCUGGUUUAUGAGGCGCCCCCGCACCUCCUCCACGAGAGGGAUAACUACAAAUCCCGGCAUGCUGUGAGAUCCCGGCGCUGCUCUGUGAUUGGGAGACUCCGGGCCUGUGCGGAAGUAGAUUGAGCCCCCUCCUUAGCUGGAAAACCGGAACCUCGUUCUGGUUUUUCGUGUGAGUGCCUGCUCCGGACUCUAGCCGGAAAGAGGAGGAAAGACGAAAGUCGUUCCUCUGUCCCCUGUCCACCUACAUCCGAGUUACUAAGAGAUGGAAACAGAAGGGCCUUUACGAUGUAGUCCUGAUUUUACACGUUCCAGCCACAUGUUGCCUCCACAAAGGAUUGUCACAGCUGCAAAUACCAGAAACAAAAGAUACAAGUUUCAGACAUAAGAAAAAAGAUUAAAAUUCGAGCGCUUUCCACCCCUCACAAUUUGCCUGAGUGGAAAAAGGAAGAACUGAUGGGAAAUUCAAAGAAUUUUUUGCUUUGCUCUGCAUCUCUGCAAAGGAAGAAGAGGAAGGUACAAUCUGUGGGGAUUGAUGACCGACGACAGAGCCUGGAAGGCUCCAUGGCUACAGCAGAGACAGGUGGUUACAGUGGCACUCUGCAAAGCUCGCCCACCACAAGCCCUGGAAGUCACAUGCAGCCCUGGGAGGAGAGAUUGUGUGACAUAACGGAUCAGGAGUAAGAUUAGGUCUCUCCAAGCCUAUCAAAUACAGUCUUGAAAUCCAAUUAGAAAAAUAAACAUGUAAGUUUGUGGCAUAGAAAACAUACCCACUUUACUUACCUAGUUCAAAUGUCUGCUACCCGAGUGUCCCCAAGUCUUCAAAACUGCUGGAGUAACCAUAUCUCCGUCACAUAUACAGCAGGAAACCUAAUCUCAAUGCCGACAUCUUUUAGAACGCUUGGAGCUAAUGGCUUUUUGUUUGUUUGUUUUCCUAUUAUUUCCUGCUUCUGCUGAAUUCUUGAUUUCUUUUGAGUCUGGCUUCUUAUGGCGGUUCUUUUUCUCCAUCCCACAUCAUUUCCAAGGCAGAACACAACCUCUUUUGCUUUGUUUUCUCAAAAUCCCAUGGAAACAAGGCAUCUCUGUGUGGUAUAGUGCAUUCCACUGAAAAUUUGGAGUUAACGGUAUAAGAUAGGGGAGAAGAAAGAGAAAUUUAUACCACAGCUAUUUGGACACCCCUGUUCUUUUUUAAAGAUCUUUGGCCGUAGCCCAGAACUUCUCUCUGGCUGCCUUUUAUCCAACUCCCUGUCAUAUUGACACAUUCUUUCUUCAUAUCCUAUUCCCCAGUCUUAUCACUUCCCCCUCUUGACCUUUUUCCUCCUAGGUUACCCAUGAAAACUCCAAAUUCUUCACUAAUUUUUCAUGGACAGAACAAUUUUGUUUUCUUGGUCUUGCCUCUGGCUUAUCCCAGCUAGACCCACUAUUAAAAUGCUCUUCCUCUGC